rnacentral:lncRNA from 1 species
UAGGCUAGUUAUCUUAACUUUACAAAACUCGCACUUUGCCACUUUAAGGUCUAUAGUUUUCAAGAUUUCAAACAGCAUUCGCUCAAAUACACGACAAGUAUAACCUUCUAAACAGUUCUUUCUUUAAGAAGUGCAAGAUCAUGAGUGAAUCCCUUAGCCAACUUCGACAAAUUUAGGCUUUCAGGUGCCAAGUGUGAGAGAAACAAUCAUACAAUAAGGUGCACGUUGUGAACGUUGUGAAUUGAUGUAUCAAAAAAUUAGCCAAGCAACCAACUGCAUCCAGCAAAGGAGCAGCUAUUACACAAUGCAACUAAGAAUUUUAACAGCAGAAACGCCAAAGGUUAUCCGCAUUAUGAUAGUACAAAUACAUGAAUUAACCAACGACGAAAUUCAAUGACGUUAAAGAACCCAAGAAACCGGUCCACAUUCACAUAACUGAACUAAGAUAGCGAUGGAAAAGAUCCGCGCAUUGAAACGUUCAGAAUAAAAUGAAAAAUUCCAGAAAACUGAAAAGUCUAAAUAAAACCAGCAACAAAGGAAUUUUGACCCGAAACACACACUCACUGCAGAAUGUUGGCGGCAGAUUUUCUGUACUUGUUUCGAUGAAUUCGAUUCCGCCCAAUCAAAUACUCUCACUUAUUCCUAAUAUCGAUUUAGGUUUUUGGAAGCAAAAGAUUGUUUGAGAAAAAANAGGUGGCCAAGUGUGAGAGAAAACAAAUCAUACAAUAAGGUGCACGUUGUGAACGUUGUGAAUUGAUGUAUCAAAAAAUUAGCCAAGCAACCAACUGCAUCCAGCAAAGGAGCAGCUAUUACACAAUGCAACUAAGAAUUUUAACAGCAGAAACGCCAAAGGUUAUCCGCAUUAGGAUAGUACAAAUACAUGAAUUAACCAACGACGAAAUUCAAUGACGUUAAACAACCCAAGAAACCGGUCCACAUUCACAUAACUGAAC